rnacentral:rRNA from 1 species
UACGGAGGAUGCGAGCGUUAUCCGGAUUUAUUGGGUUUAAAGGGUGCGUAGGCGGAUCGUUAAGUCAGUGGUCAAAUUGAGGGGCUCAACCCCUUCCCGCCAUUGAAACGGGCGAUCUUGAGUGGAAGAGAAGUAUGCGGAAUGCGUGGUGUAGCGGUGAAAUGCAUAGAUAUCACGCAGAACCCCGAUUGCGAAGGCAGCAUGCCGGCUUCCUACUGACGCUGAAGCACGAAAGCGUGGGGAUCGAACAGG